UACGUAGGGUGCAAGCGUUGUCCGGAAUUAUUGGGCGUAAAGAGCUCGUAGGCGGUCUGUCGCGUCUGCUGUGAAAACUCAGGGCUUAACCCUGAGCUUGCAGUGGGUACGGGCAGGCUAGAGUGCGGGAGAGGAGAGUGGAAUUCCUGGUGUAGCGGUGAAAUGCGCAGAUAUCAGGAAGAACACCCGUGGCGAAGGCGGCUCUCUGGAACGCAACUGGACGCUGAGACGCGAAAGCGUGGGGAGCAAACAGG
rnacentral:rRNA from 1 species